GUGAAGUUACUCACGAAAACUCACCCAGAGUGGCAAGUGGCUACAGAACCUAUAGCAACAUGGCAGAAUGUCCAGGCUGCUGGCACCCAAAAAGAUAGCACUUCCAGACGUCUUGGAAACUUGCUAGACAUGAUGUACCAGGAGCCAGCACGAUGGUCCUACACAUUUCAGACCCUCUCCUUCAUGAGCCGGCUGAAAGUGCAGUUGGAGCCCACCCCAGGGAGACUCCUGCAGGCAGACACGUCUGUGAGGGUCUUUGAGAGAUCUGUGUACAGUGACAGGUUUACUGACUGUCUCCUGCACUCAAGCUCCAGGCUCAGCUCCAGGGCAACACCAGAGAACACAGCCGUCGUCCCUGUUCCCUGAGAAUGCUACUUCACCAAGGACUACAUACAUACUCACAAGUGUGGUGUGUGUUCCAGAGGACAGUGACUUCAGGGAAGAAGAAAUAGAAGUAACAAAAACAUCAGUGUGGCAUUAGAUCAAAGCUCAGGGUUGCUAGGUCCUU
rnacentral:lncRNA from 1 species